CUCCCCUUCGGAUAGAUGGUCCCCAGAUAGCUCUAGUCCUUACAGACCGCCCUCUCUCCUGACUACCUCUCCUUACAUCUAUGCCACUCAACUGAGUGCUUACUUAACGUUUUGUUUCUCCUGUAUAUAUGUUUGGUUGCCCCAAAAGAUUGAGGGCCCAGACCAUGCUUUCUAUGCCUCUACAUUCCCCACAGCACUCAAAUGCUGGGCUCAUAGCAGGGCUUUUGUAAACACUUAUUUGGUGGGUUGAUAGUGCCAGCAGCUGGGGCCUGGGCAAGGUCUGAGGAGGCACAGGUGGAGAUGAGGGAGAAACCCUCAAAAACAGAUAACCCCUGUGUGAGCCUCACAUCGGUUUACAAAUCAUUUUCGUGCACAUUAUCUCUAGAUCAUGUUUUGAUCCAAUCAACAAAACUUCCCCAAGUGCCUACUAACUGCUGUGCCAAACACCAAGCUGGGUCAGGAGUUGAAUCAUCACAACCUCAUGAGGGUCCUGUGGAUAUACGUGAGCCACCAAGGCAAAAGGGCCAUUUCUCAAACAGCGUGCUGGUUAGAAGGAAGGGCCCACCCCAUUUGUGUGGAUCAGUCUCCCUUUACAUACAUGACAAACCACAUGGGCUUGUUAUGAUCCGUUUGGCACAAUGCCCGGUUCACAAGAGGUCCAGAAAACUGUUCUCAGGAGUGAGAGCUGUGUUGUAAGAGGUCUGUUAAAUGGGGUACACAGUAAGUUCAAGCGUAUUCGGCAUGUCCUGUGGAGCAGCCAUGUAGAGCGCUCCCCUGGGUGGGGCUGUGACUCAUUGCCCCAGUGUAGGUUCCAGGUCGGGAUGCGGAGCUGAGCUCCGAGCAGCCACGAGUUCUGGGUGGAACCCUGGAGCGAGGAGAGGAGAGGGGCCGGCGGCCCACUGCCGGAAUCGAGCGGCUCCCUCUACUGGCGAACUCGGGGAAUCACCAGGUGUUUCCGUGUAUCUGUGUGUCACCGUGUCACGAGGAGUGUCACAGGUGUGUCAGCGAGUGUCGGUGGAAGUGCCAGCACGGGGUAGAGGUGAGUGAAGGUGCCUGCUCAUGGAGCAGUGUGGGUGCGACAGUGCCAUGCGGGCCUGUCUCUGCAACCACAGAAUGUACACACACAACCGUAUCAUGGAAUACAAUUUACUUUGGGGCUGGAGGCGGAGGGGGAGUGAGGAGGGCGGCUCUAGGGCUGCAUAUUAUCUGAGAUUACCUCGUGAAAUGAUUAGGACGAAAGUCGGUUCCAGCUGAGACUCCUCACCAACCCCAUACUGAUGGGAGGAAUUCAGGACUGAAGAACAGUUCUUGGGAAGGCACUCUAUCCCCUAAAGGAACUGACGACCCAAGAAAGGGUUAACUUUGAGCCCUACAGUGGCUUCAAUCAUUGGCUCAGAGCACUGUCAAUCAGAGUUCUGGGGCGGGGUUCUCGGGCCGCCUGCGGACUGCCCAGGGCCCCUCGCUUGCCCCUAGACCCCCACAUCAUUUUACUUCUGGGCUGCGCCCACACCCCUCUCUUGGUGGAGACACCUUCCUGGGCCUGGAGGAAGAGCAGAUCCGGGCAUCCUGGCUUCCCCACUCACUCCAGCUGCCUGGCUUCCUGAUAGAUGGUGAUUAUUAUAUAAUAGACCUGCUGGACAGAACCGUGCCAGCGCUUGGAACACUUUGCCCCCUCCUCGAAGCGUGCCCCAAGGUCUGGCAUCAGCCGCACCAGAGCCCGCUGCCCAGCUCUGCCGGCUCCCCCAGCAGCACCUCCACCCCCGGGCGGGAGACCCCUGGGCCACCUUCCCCGGUGGACCUGGGGCCACGUCUUGGGAUGGGGCGGGCGCCAGGCUAGGAGUCGGGCGGGCGCCCAGCAGGUCUCAGAGUCGGCCUGCAGAGUUUGGCUUUACCAGCGCCUCGCCGGGAUUGUGGGACCCACCUGGCCCCUCGAACCUGAACUUGGAACUUGGGAGCCAAAAGAGGCACGGACCUCUCUGGCCCAAGGGAAAAAUGGCACCCUUGGAUUGUGGACAACCCCCUGAACGAGGCAUAUCCUCAGUCCCAGCAGGGCCUAAAGCCUGCUCUGUGACUUCCAGAAACCGCUCUGUGAUGGACUUCCGGGGGCCUUAUUUUCUCCAUCUGUCAAGACCCAUAACCCCUUCUAAUUGCUAGGGUACUUGGAACUUGAAGUCCCAGAUGAGGAAAUGUUUUUACAAGACGUAACUCUGAGGUAAGGGAAGAAGCUUCACGAUCCAGUCUGUUUCGCAGAAUCCCGCAGCCUCGGGACCCGUCUGCUGGGACUAGGGUACCGCCUCACAGGGUGCCCACACCCUCGCACUGUGCUGGACCCCGCGGAAGUUGCAGGAUACGAAACCUGAAUCUAUUCUGCGAUCCCGCCAACUAAUUUCCCACAACCAAAAAUAAUUUCAACAAGGAAUCCCAAUUUUCACUUGUAUCUCUUCGGGCUGCUCCGGUUCAUAACCUACAACGCCGCUUGUUAAAAUUCCCUUCC